UUAAAAAUAAGCUAAAUAAAGCUUUUGGGCUCAUACCUCAAAUAUAAAGGAUA
rnacentral:tRNA from 1 species